rnacentral:lncRNA from 1 species
AAGAAUAGGCUCCAACCUUAAUUCGAAGCCGAACGAGCACCAACUAGUUAAAUAAAGCAAGAACUAGUCAAUAAGUGCUCACAAAAUGGAAUUCCAACUAAUUAAAAGACUUCCCAACCUUUCUCGCAAGUUUUCUAUCCGACCCCCGGCCCACGUGCUCGGAUUCUGAGAUUUUUCAAAGGAAAUUACUCUCUAUAACCUAAGGAUUACUAAUAUGUGAUUUUUAGUUAAUUACAUAACUAAUUAGGUGGUUAAAUCAUAAUUUAUCAAAACCCUAGGUCUUGCUCUAACCAUUGAUUUUUAUUUGAUUACUAGUGUUAAAUCUAUGUAAUGUUCACGUAUUUAAGCUAAGAGUGAGUGGGGAUUACUUACCUUGUGAUGUUAUGAAGAAACUCUCUCUUUGGAACCUCCAAAAUCNNNNNNNNNNNNNNNNNNNNNNNNNNNNNNNNNNNNNNNNNNNNNNNNNNNNNNNNNNNNNNAUUUACUUGACAAAUUUGGAACCUCCAAAAUCGCCCUAAGGUGGAAGAAAUGGGAGAUAAAUGAGCUUGAGUUCGUAUUUAAUGAAUCCUUACUGCCCCAGCGAUAUUCGCAUAUGCGUACAAAUUACCGCAUAGGUGGUGUCCGUUUCUGCGGAAAAACAACCGCUUUUGCUGUUUGGGAGAGUUGACCGGACCGCUUUUGCGGUCUUGAUUUCGCAUAUGCGGGACCGUUUAUGCGGUCCCAGGGCCGCUUCUACGGUCUCUCCCCCUUCUUCACCAUUCCGCUUCUGCGAUCAGGUGGCCACUUAUGCGGUCACCGCUAUUGCGGUCAAAGAGCCACAGAAGCGGUUUUGACAGAAGCAGCAAACUUACUUCUUUCCAAAAUCCGACUUCGCUCAAACCUCGACUAUUUGACGCUCAGAGCUUCCGAUCCCCGCCCGAACAAACCGACAAGUCUGAAAUCACGAGGAAGACCUAGUCGAACUCUCGAAACACCCAACACAAUGAUGGAUCAAAGAAUCGAACCCCAAAAAUUGGUUUAACUUAAUGAACUUCAAGUUCUUUAUUUCCUAUCAACGGGUCAAAACGCCCUUAAACUAUUCGGAUAGACACCAAAUUUUACGGGUAGGUCUUAUAUGAUAUUUCGGACUUGUACCAAGUUUCAGAACUAGAAUCCGAACCCGAUACCUGGAUUUUUAAUUAAUAUUUAGAUUCUUUAAUUCCUUAAAACUUUGUUUUAACAAUUUUACACAAAAACUCCGUUCUUGGGCUGGGGACCUUGGAAUUCGAUUCCGAGCAUACGCCCAGGUCCCAUAUUUUUUUAUGGAUCUUUUGGGACCGUCAAAUCACGAAUCUGGGUUCGUUUCCUAAGAAAGUUGACUGAAGUCAAAUUUGGCCUUUUAAGAAAACCUUUAGAAAAUAAUUGGUUUUAUUUUUACUCAAAACUCUCCUAACUUUCAAACUAAUCGUCCCCACAAAUCGAAAUUUAGCCAAAGAUAACGUGGGGAGUUUUACUUAAGGGGAACGGGGUUCUAAAUAGUAAAACGACCAGUCGGGUCGUUACAUAUGUGGAAAUGACAUUAGGUACCCACUGUUGAGCAUGUUGUUUAAAAUAUAUUCAUAAUUUACAAUGUAUUUAAUGAUUAGCCAAGUUACUCAAAUGGACAUCUGUGUCCUAAAGUUCGAAAAUUGUAUUUAGAAAUUCGAAUCUUAUGUCUUCAAAUUUAAAUUAACAGUUCAAAAAUUCAGGACACUUAGUCUUGAAUUUCAAAUUAGCAGUUCAGAAAUUAAAGACUCUUAGCCUUGAAUUUCAAAUUAGCAGUUUAAAUUAGGACACUAUGUCCCAAAUUUCAAAUUAACAGUUUAAAUAUUUAGGUUGCAAAAUUUUAGGAUAUUUAUAGUAUGUUUGGCCAAGCUAGAAGAAAAAAAAGUAUUUUUGAGUUGAAAUAGAAGAAUUUUUGAGAAGCAAAACAAAAAAACAGCUUAUUCCCAAAAGUGAUUUUUUGAGAAGUAGUUUUGAGAAAAAUACUUUUAGAAGAACUUUUUAAAAGUUUGGUCAAACAAUAAUUGAUAUUUAAAAAUGCUUUCUAAAUUAAUUAGCCAAAUUCAAAUUGCUUCUCACCUUAGGCGGAUUUUUCUAGCUUGGCCAACAGGCUAUUACUCCUGAAAUUUGGACAAAUAGACUAAUAUUUAAAUAUAUUUGUAAAUUAUGAAUAUAUUUUAGAUAGGAAAACUUAAAAUUGGUGAUCGGUGUACUUUGCCCUGUAACUAGUCAUGUAGAUGUUAGGAGUUGAUUUGACCCGAGUGGCUCAACGUGAAGAAGCUAGUCGAAAGCCCAUUUAUGCAAGCCCGAAAAAUUUAUUUCAUUUUAUGUUUAUUUAUUCUGGUAUAAAUGUUAAUAGUGAUGGACAAUUUUCGGGAGUAUUCAAUUAUUUCAUUUUUCCGUUUAAAUUUUAAUGACCUAUGCUAAUCCCUCUCCAUCUUCUCUCUUGCGUUUCCAUUUAGGUUUUGUUUGGUAUAAUCGAAGUAAUUUUUCAGGAAAGUAUUAUUUUUAUGAGAAAAACCUUUUUUUAAAUUUACUUGACAGAAUUAAAAGGGAAAAAUAAUUUCCCUUACAAUUAUCUUCACUUUAAACUUUGUAUAAAUUACUUCAACUAAUACUUCAAAUAUUAUUAUAUAUUUAUCUUUAGUAUCUCAAAAAAAUAUUAAAACACACUCCAAUUAGCUAAUUUUAUCAUUAAUUUUAACAUAUAUUUUAUUCGAAAAACAUUUUUCGUUCACCAAUGAAACGAUGUGGCACUAUAUGGAAGAACUUGUAUAAACCAGGCCGGUUUGUGCUCUGAAUAUUGGAAAACUGCUUUAGAACACUUGAGAAUUGCUAAAGGAAGCUUUUGUAAUAGAGAACUUGAUAGUUUGCUUGGUUGGUGAAUUAUAAAUGAAUGCCCCCUAUUUAUACUAAUCACCUAGGGGCUAGUAUGUAAAUAAUAAUUGUUCUANNNNNNNNNNNNNNNNNNNNNNNNNNNNNNNNCCCCUAUUUAUACUAAUCACCUAGGGGCUAGUAUGUAAAUGAUAAUUGUUCUACAAGCCAUAUUUAUAACUAAGUUCCUUCUCUAGAAUAUUCUACAUAGCUAGAAUCUUUUAAGGACUUUCCUAACAAUUCUAUAGAGUUCUAGAGUCUUCCAAAGGAAACUUCUAUAUUUCUCUAGAAAAUUCCUACAAGUGCAUAAAUAUCUAGAACAUUUCCAAUGAAAUUCUUCAUAAUUCUAGAAUAUUCCAUCAAGAUCAGUCCCAAACUUAAGUAACCAUUCCAUAUGAAAAAAAAUAUGCCAAGUGGCACCUACGUGGUAUGAUGAUGUGGCGGGUCAUGACACUCUCCCCCACCCAAUUUAGUGCCUCACUCGGCACAAAGCAUCGCCACAUAUGCGUGCACCUCGCCUUGUCAUCCCGGAGAUCUUUGUCCAUUAGCCAUGAUACCCUAUGAAGUGGUUCUCUUUCCCAUUUUACAAGGUAUUGUCUACCUUUCUUCUUACGCGUUUGUACUUUGGACGGCUAGCAAUGAUGGCCUCCCAUCGGAUGCCCCUCGUUUCUCUUGGCCUAAAUCUUCCCAUGACUCAACCAAGUCUAGCAACUUCUCAAGCAUCGAGUUCAUGCUUCUACUCCCUAUUUGGCUGCCCUCCGUGGUCCAGCUGUACUGGCAAACUUGAACCCUCUACUUGGUGCAUCGUCUGAGUCUAAUAGCAUGCCAUCACUUUGUAACUCACCAUCCUCUUCAACUAUGUCACCAUUAUAUGCUUGAGCAUAUUUUUCGGUCAUUGCUACAAGCUUCCCAACUCUGGGAAUUUGCUUGCCCCGAUGUGACCCUUUGUAGAAGUAGCACCCUCCUAUAGGCACGUACUCCCUGCCAUUUUCCCGGACCUUUGCCGUUUCUACUGGACCCCUAUCCAUUAAGGAAUGGCCCCUUGCCAUUACCGUUGUAUACCUCGGCUAUGUAUUUCUCGUUGUCCUCGUCAUGAUCUCCCUCAUCCCUCUCGGCGUUGCCUUCUUUGGACUUAGCAGGCUCCAUCUUGAAGUCAACAAGUGACUAGGCUACUCCGAUGGCUCCGUUCACGUUGGCUACUUGAUAUCUUCUUAAUUUCCGCUUUGCCCAAUUUUUCAACCCAUCCAUAAAGUAGAAGAGGAAAUCUUCCUCGGACAGUGACGAGAUUUCCAUCAUUAAGGUUGUGAAGUCGUGCACAUACUCCCAAAUUGUGGCCUCCGUCGGAAAUCCCUUAGCUUCCGCAAGUCUGCCACCUCCCGUGUGCACCACCGUACUGCUUUCGCUUAGGGACCUUCGCGUUGAUCACUUCUGCAAGUACCAAGCCCUUGGUAAUUCCGGCCAUGGCUCCUUACAAAACAUCUCUCUAGCAAUCUCUUGUAUUCUUUCUAACAUUCCUCAGUCAUAACCUUUGCUCUGAUAGCACGUUGUCACAUCUUUAGUUGUUAACUAAGUACACGUGCGGUACUUGACAACCCGCUCAUGAUCUUGCACAACUUGCUCACGUUCUUGCUAUGCCAAGUCAGCCUUACUACACUCAAGAUCGCUAAAAAUUGUUAGAACUCUUGAGAAUUGCUAAAGAAAGGUUUUGUAAUAGAGAACUUGAUAGUUUGCUUAGUUGAUGAAUUACAAAUGAAUGCCCCUAUUUAUACUAAUCACUUAUUGGCUAGUAUGUAAAUAAUAAUUGUUCUACAAGUUCUUUCAUAAUUAUAACUAAGUCCUUUCUCUAGAAUAUUUUACAUAGCUAGAAUCUUUUAUGGACUUUCCUAACAAUUCUACAGGGUUCUAGGAUCUUCCUAAGGAAACCUCUAUAUUUCUCUAGAACCUUCCUACAAGUGCAUAAAUAUCUAGAACAUUUCCAAGGAAAUUCUUCAUAGUUCUAGAAUAUUCCAUCAAGAUCAGUCCCAAACUUACGUAACCAUUCCAUAUGUCAAAAAUAUGUGCCAAGUGGCACCUACGUGGUAUGAUGAUGUGGCGGGUCAUGACAUUAGACAUCGGUUCUCAAUUAAAUUUGAUUCAUUUGGCAGAUAUAUGCGUCAAUAUCUUCAUUUUUUAAGCACCAUACGUCACACCACCUUUUUACACACCUACCCCGAAGGAUAAUAUAUAAGGGAGUUUUUCCAUUUAAAGUGACAUUAUUCAGAUCAAGAUUAUUUAUUCAGAGUCGCCACUUGGGACAAGUUUGGCUUUUGGUGUCCCAAGUCACCAGUUUUAUCUUGAGUCCCGAACCGAGGAAAACUUCGACUUCCGAAUUGGAGUCUGCGAACCAGAAAUUCUGAAUAAGGAAUUCUGUUGACCCGAGGGAAGGUGUUANNNNNNNNNNNNNNNNNNNNNNNNNNNNNNNNNNNNNNNNNNNNCACCGAUUUAGCUUGAAUCCCAAUCCGAGGAAAAUGUUCGACUUCCCAAUUGGAGUCUGCGAACCAGAAAUUCUGAAUAAGGAAUUCUGUUGACCCCAGGGAAGGUGUUAGGCACCCUCGGAUCCCGUGGUUCUAGCAUGGUCGAUUAAAUUGUUAUGAAUGGCUAAAAUCUGAUUUUUAUUACAUGAAGAGCCUAUGUGCCAAUUUUUACUUUUUACCGCUUUUAUUUAACAUAAUAUUUAUUUGAGAAAGUGAACGUCGUUUAAAGCGUGUUUUCGGAUUGCGCCGCAUCAAAUGAACCCGCAAUCCUAGGCAUACUCUAUUCAACGCUUUAGGAUUUGGAUUUUGGCCGCAUAAAAUGCCCACCCGUAUAUAGGAAUGUAAUUUAUUAAAGUCGCAUCUAAUAGAGUCUAACACGUUGUAAUCUUUUGGGAGAGUCGUGAAAUUCCCUAAACGGCCCUUCCUGAUUUUCUAAAUAUGUUUUAAACCUUUAUUGAGGGCCCCGCAUUUUGUAGUUCUAUUUGGCGCGGCGCACCUCAAUUCCGUUUUAAAAGGUUUUACUCAACUAAAAAAGAACUACGGAUGUUCGUGAGUUGUUUAUUUUCCUAAAUUUGAGAUAGCUUAGAGCCUUUACUUUAUGUAAAGCGCACUCACUCUAAUGGUGUACCUUUUGCAUGAUGGGUCAGCGAGGAAAUGAGAACAACGACUUAAGCUAUUAGGUGUAGACGCUUUCCAGAAGUGGAAUCUUCUAGUUCUUCCUAUUUGAUCCGAAACCGAUCUUCAAUCAGAUAUAUAAUAUAAUCAAUCAAUUACAGUUGGUUAAAACAAAAUAUGAUACAUGAUUACAAGUCAAUCCAACACAUCUAAUUGCAUGAAUUUUAAAGAAAUCAGGUAUUAACUACUGUCCAAACCAAACGAAUUUCCAUGCCAUGUAAGACUUUACUAUUUCUAUACAACUCUUGCACGUUAUUACCUAGGGAAGAUAACUUCAAACUAUAUCAUUUUUAGAAUUAUAUAAUUAAAUUAGUACAUCAAAUUAUGAUUUUUUUUAAAAAUACCAUAAGUGGAUGCUUCAAUUACCCCAUGGAAACAGCUGUGCAUACUGAUUGUGCAUAUAGAAUAUUGGAACCAUCCAAAUACCAUUACUGUAAUUUUGUUGUUAUCAAAUAAAUCAUUCUAUAAUGAGCAUGAUUUCAUUAAUUCACAUGGAAUCCGGAAGUGUAAAUCCAAAUCAAAGCAUUUUGAGGCAAGAUCAGUUUAAAAUACAUGAAACACUUGAAUCUAAAUGGCUGGACUCAUACACGGAUUCAGAGAUAAUGUAAGUAAUUAAUUGUACAGAUCAAAGUGAGUACAAAUGGGUUUGGGUGUGUACCUAAUGCUCAGGAGGAAACGGAACAGAAAUGGUCCAGCUGAAGGCCGAAACUAGGGAUGAAUCACCAACAACGGAUAACCCAAAUAAGGCUUAGAAACAGAAGGUGAAGUUCAGUUAACAUUCAAGCAACAAACAGCAGCGGAAAUCCACAAACUCAACGGCAAACGAAAUCAGUCUCGAACCAACUUCAAAAAUAGAAUUGAAACGACACGGUUCUGUUUCAAGCCGGCCGGCGACCUCAAAUGAAGACUCGGAAAAUCAAGUGCCCACCUCGAUCUCUCUCCAUUUUUGCAACCAAUAACUGAAACUAGAGAAGAAGAAUAGAACUAAUUUUUUCUUCUUUGAUUUUUAGAACUUCAGGCGACACAAAAAUUGACUAAGAAAAUUGAAGAAGAAAAGUUUUCAAAAAACAACCAGAGAGUCCCUCAAUGAAAGAAGCCCCAGCGUUCUGUCCGUUCUCUUCUGAGAAGUCGCGGAUCAAUCCCCCCUUUUGUGUGUGUUCUUGUGUGUAUCGUGUGAGGUCAAAAUUUGGAGGAGGGGAAAAGCUCAGCUAGAGGUCCGUUGGGUCUCACCAUUUUUCUUCAGAGAAGGGGAGGAGAUCUAUCACCGUCAGCCGGGAUCAGAAUGGAGAAGAAAGAGAGGGGAUAUAUUUGAAGAAUCCCCAAAAAUGGGAAGGGGUCACCUUUUUGCAUGUUCCUAACAUGUGAGGGGUCUGAUGG